CAAGACGGACGGGAGCUGAGAGCUGGGUCUUUGCGGGCAAGAUGAGAGUGUCAGUUCAACUGGCCUACAAAGUCCCAGUCCUCGGUCCCCAGGACCGGCAUUU
rnacentral:miRNA from 7 species